CGUGACCGUAGUAAAAAUACUUAGAACCAGGCGUGGAGUGCAAUCAUCGUGGCAGUAACAACGCUCGGAAGCAACAGCAACUCUACAACUCUUCAAAUCUUCGAAUUCGCAUAUAGUACCGAGUGUCGUUUCGUCUGAUCAAACGUCGCCAUGGCAACCGGUGUACAACUCGUCACUUUUGGGCCCGAGCCAAUGACUCUGUCGUGUCCGCACUGCAAGAACCAAGUAACAACAACUACCGAAACCAAGAAUGGUAGAUGCGUGUGGUUAUCGUGCUGCCUUCUCUGGUUCAUCGGUUGCUGCUGUAUCCCGUUCUGCGUCGACAGUUGCAAAGAUGUAGACCAUAAAUGCCCAAGCUGCAAGAACUAUUUAGGAUCGUACACCAGAUAGACUGUGGCGCCAUCUAGCGAACGACACAGCAGAUAAAAUGGAAGCAACCAACUAAGUUAACACAUUUCUACAAAUAAUCUUCAUACAUUUUCAUCGAAAACCAAUAAUUAUCAGAAGAUUAUAGACAUUUUAAAAUUCUACUGAUGCUUUUAGUAUCGAUUGUUCAACAGCGGUGUCAAAACGUCGCAUCUACAAGACACACAGACGUUUUUUCGAUGGUCAUGCUAUUUAACUACACGCAUUAAACAUUAUUUGUUUAGAAUAGUUACAACGGAAAAUCAGGAAUCACUGCCCAUACGUGAUCUCGAUAUAGACGAGAUACAGCCAGGCACGUUAAGACAGUUUAUAUACCACACCGCGAUAUUUGAUAUUAUAAUUAUGAUUAGAAUGUCCAGGUGGAGGAGGCCAAUGUAGGCCAAUUCAUUUCUAUCCCAUCUGUGUGUGUGGUAGAGCACAUAGGUAUAUCUAAUAGCGUAAAAUUAAUAGAUUAUUAUAUCACAAUUUUCUUGAGAUGGCGGUAUUCUAUGUAGUCCUUAUUAUAACUCCUAGUGAUAUUACAGUGCUAUAACCUAGGUGACUAUAUAUAUAUAUAUAUACGCAUGCGUUUAUAAAUAAUAAAUUUAGCCGCAUAAUGGCCUUGAAUAUAUUAUUAUAUUCUGAGCAUAUCUAUAUAUAACUGAGCAUAAUACGCCACGAUUCGUUCGGUUACAAAGUAUAUCUGCAGGAAUCUGGUUUAAUAUUUUUACUUACCGCGGUAAAUGCUGUCUUAUUACACAUUACGCGAAUUUUAUACGUUCUAUAGUAAUAAUAUAUUAUGUAAUAUAGUUAUAUAAUAAUAAGCAGUUUAUGAGCACAUUA